CUCGAGGCGGGGCAGAGAGUUCCUGGAGCGCGUUAAGGCCGUGGUGCUGUUCCGGUGCUCGGCCUACGGCCCAGCACCUGCACGUAUCCCGGCGCCCGCUUCUCCACGCGAGCCCGGUAGGUGUCAGCCAGGCCAGGGCGCGCCGCAGGCUCGUCCCCAGACCCCGACAGGGCGUCGAAGCCCCUCUAGGACGCUGAUUUGUCGCGGUCGCCCGCGAGGGGGCGCCCACGCCUUGCGCUCUGCAGCUCCGUGCACCAGCUGCACAGAAGUGCACGCUAACACGCCUGCAAACCCACCCGGGAGGGGUGUUCACACGAGGGUGCCAUGAACUGUUCUCCUCUCUGACGCCCCUCUGCCAUGAGCCACUCUGCCUUGGAGCCAGCUGAUUAUGGACUGAAACCUCAGCAAACAGUUUUCCUGUGGAUGUGGUUUUCAGCACAUCUGGGUAAACGCCGGCCAUAUGGUAAGAGUGCACAGUUUUGUGGGGAGCUGCCCAGCUGUCCUCCCAGGUGCCAUACUGAGCUGGAGGUAGCUAAGGAAAAGGCUGGGAAACAAGGUACAUCCACCUUCUGAGUUCCACAGUGGUCUGGGCCAGGGCCAGACACGAUGGGAAAAGUUUUCUGAAGCAGGGAUUUCAGCAGGAGUUGAGUGUAUGGUUCUUCUGUCCCAUGAGGCAGGAUUGCCAGGGAGCCUAGAGGACCACGUGCAGCAGCUUCCAAGGCCCAGCCUGCCCACUUGUGCAUCCCCAGCGCACAGCCCUAGCUGGCAGAGAUCAAACCUGGGGCUCAGCCAGAAGAGAACUCCAGGAAGGUUGGAGGGAGCUUCGAGCUACCUCGAUGUGGGAGUCCCACGUCAUCUCCUGCGGACAUUCCACUGGUCCUGCAAGUUACUGGAGCCAACCCAGAUCCAAGCGGAGAGGAAGGAGACCCAUGGUGCAGUGGGAAGCUUAGCCUACACGUUGUCCCAUUAGCUGUCUAGGGUUAUUAGAAACAGCCUUGCUGGUUCAGAGCAUUGCACAUUUCCGUUUGAGGCAGGGUCUGUGUAGUCCAAGCUGGCCUUGAACUCACUGUGUAGCCCAGGCCGCCCUUGAGCUCGUGGUGAUCCUCCUGCCUCAGCCUCCUUGGUGCAGGGAUUAUUGGCAUGUGCCACCAUGCCUGCCUGGGAAUUUCAGGUUUUAAGUGCUGACCUUUGAAAUACCUAAGGAGUGGUUUAGGCCCACUGACACUCCCUUGAAUGGACCAGCCCUUAAAUCAGG
rnacentral:lncRNA from 1 species